CGGGUCCGUAUCUUUGAAAGUAAUUGAAAACCACUAGCCUACACCCUGCUCCAGCACUCAAGAGCCUUGCUGAUGAAGUAUUCUCUUUGGAACCAAAAGAGUUUGAAAUAGUAAACGUUUUGAUGAAUGACAAAGUAAGACCUAGAUUGUGGUCGACACAGUGGUAGCAACAAGAAAACAUGGCAGAGAUUAGAAUCACUGGAUGCUGGGCUUCCUCUGCAUGAUGGCUCACUCUCAACAGAGACGGAGCACGGUGGAGGGGAGCCCCACGCUGGAGCACGGUGCCCAAAGCACUGGUGAGUCAUGGCCAACAGCAAGAUGGG